UGUGGUAAGGAAAAAUGCUGCAUAUGAAAACGUUUCUAUAAGAUUCAACUUGCUAAAUUUCACUAAUGCAUGCCAUUCACUUUCAGCAACAUAUGUUAAGGCAAAGGACUACCUGAAAAAGUCCUUACUGUGUUUAACAUCAGACAUACAGUCAGAGGCUGAAGACCCUAUCAGAAGGAAAAAAAGGCCAAACUCACGCUACCUGCAGGAGCCAGCUGGAAGAGCCCAGACCACUAGGGGCCCGCCGCAACACUAUUUUGAAGGUGUGGACACUGAUGACGAGGCACCACCCCCCACUAAGGAAAACAGCACG